rnacentral:lncRNA from 1 species
AAAUAAAUAAAUAAAUAAAUAAAUAAAUACAGCACUCACAGUAGGGUUUUAUUUAUAAAAAAAGCACAGACUCCUUGGUAAGAUAUUUAAAGCUCUUAAAACCUGUUCCUACCCUGAGACUUCAGGUGCAUUUCUGUUUCUCCCUGGUUCCCAAAUUUCUAAUGUUGAGGGGCCAACCAUGACGAUCUCGAUGUGUUAGCACAGGACUUCGUGUAUGAUAUGCUUAGCGAUUAGAGCCUAUGCUCUCCGUGAGCUCUAGUGGGAUAAGGGGGACUGGAAGAGGAGGAAGAAAGUGACUAAAAACAGCCACCCCAAGAUGUGAGAACAGAGUCAACAUUGUGUCUGGAGACAACAAGGUUGCUUUCGUUAGUCUGGAUAUGUGUUUGGUGGUGGUGGAGCUCAAAUUUUAGAUUUUCAGUGCUAGAGAAAUGCAUUUACAAUGUGAAAACCUGAUGCUUAUUAAAGAAACAUUCUUUUAAAA